rnacentral:tRNA from 2 species
GGGUUAUAGCUCAGCUGGGAGAGCAUCUGCCUUACAAGCAGGGGGUCACAGGUUCGAGCCCUGUUAACCCCA